CCUGACGGUAGUCGUAUGCUCGUCUCCGAGACUAAGCCAUGCAAGUCCAAGUACACGUCCUUGAACGACGGAAACUGCGAACGGCUCAUUAAAUCAGUUGCGAUCUACUCGGCGUUCCGCGCCGCCGGAUAACCGUAGUAAUUCUAGGGCUAAUACGUGCGAAGCGCCCGAAGCCGCGAGGCGACGGGCGUUCUCGCCGGAUGUAGGAACCGACCCGGGGACCGCCGGGGCAACCCGGCGCCCCCGAGACGGGGCGAACCACGGUGAAAUGACGGAUCGUCGGCCCCGCGCCGGCGACUCGCCGAAUGAGUUUCUGACCUAUCAACUCGAGACGGCGGGGUAGAGGCCCGCCGCGGUAACGACGGGUAACGGGGAAUCAGGGUUCGAUUCCGGAGAGGGAGCCCGAGAAACGGCUACCACUUCCAAGGAAGGCAGCAGGCGCGCAACUUACCCUAAU
rnacentral:rRNA from 1 species